rnacentral:rRNA from 1 species
UUUUUAAUUGAAAUCUUGUAUGAAUGGUCGGACAAAAGAAAUACUGUCUUUGUAUUAUAAAUUGAAUUUAACUUUUAAGUGAAAAGGCUUAAAUAAUCUAGAAAGACGAUAAGACCCUAUAAAGCUUUACAUUUAAGUUAAUUUUUUAUUUAAUUUUGUAGAUAAAGAUUUAAUUUUAUUAUUUUGUUUUGUUGGGGAGACAACGGUAAAAUUAUUGUUAACUGCUGAGUUGUAAAACAGUGAUAUAUGUAUAAAUGUGUAAUAGAUCCUUUUUAAAGACUAAAAGAUUAAGUUACUUUAGGGAUAACAGCGUUAUUUCUUUUGAGAGUUCUUAUCGAAAAAGGAGAUUGCGACCUCGAUGUUGAAUUAAAAUAUCUUUAUAGUGCAGUUGCUAUAAAAGAAAGUCUGUU